UGCUUGGAGAGGGAGGGAGCAAUCAACUGCUUGAAACACUGAUGGAAGAAGAUGCAUGUUGAGAAUUACCUGCUGCAAUUGGAGAUGAGAAGGUGAUUGGCAUCCUUGACAACAGCUAUUUCUGGGGUGGAAAAAGGAUGAAACCUGGAUGCCAUUGGGUUAGGGAGAAGGUAGGAGAAAAGGAAAUGAGGAUGAUGACUUUAUUCUAGGAUAAUUUUCCUGGAAAGGGGGUGCAAAAAUGGGUACAGUAGCUGAAGAGGGAUGUGGGACAAGUGAGGAUUUUUUUUUAAUAUGAGAAAAUAUAAAAUGUGCACUAAUGAAGAAGAGUGAGGGAGGUUGAUGAUGCAAGGCAGAGAGGAAACAGCAGGUACAUCCCCAAAGGAGGAGUUGGCCAGAGAAAGGAGAAAGGAAGUCAGUCCAAAGAAACAAGAGAAUGUGAGAUGUUUGUGUAUGUUGGCAGAUAGAUAUGGUGAUGGAAAUGUAUGGAAAUUACUUUCUGAUUGCUUUUAUGAUGUACAAUGAAAUAGGAAGCAAAGCAACUAUUUGGGAGUGAAAAUUAAAGAAGAGACCAUGAAGAUUUGGGAAGAAGGAAAUAGUCGACCAGGAGAGUAGACAAGUGAAUGGAUUAGGGAAAUGCAGUGGAAUUAGUGAAAGCACUAAAGGUCCACUGCGGGUUAGUGGUUGAGGAUCUAAAGUUAAAUCAAUCAGUAUAACAUUGACCUACAUGGAAUAGGUGUAAUGUUGGAUUUAAACAGGGCAUAGGUUGUGUUGGCUGCUAUGAGCUGAAGUGUGUCCCCCCACAAUUAGUUGCUGGAGCCCUAAUCUCCAAUGAGACUGUAUUUGGAGAAAGGGCUUUCAGGAGAUAAUUAAGGUUAAAUAAGGUCACAAGUGGGGAUUCCAAAUCUGAUAGGAUUAGUGGUCCUAUAAAAAGAAAAAGAGAGAGAGUUCUGUCUUAAUGCUCAUGCAUGAAGAAAAGGCCAUAUGAGCACACACUGAGAUGGCAGCUGUCUGGAAGCCAGGAAGAAAGCUCUCACCAAGAAUUAAAUUCGCUGGCACCUUAGUCUUGAACUCCCCAGCCUCCAGAACUGUGAGAAAUAGAUUUCUGUUGUUUAAGUCACCCAGACUAUUUUAUUUGUUAUGGUGGCCUGAGCUAAAACAUCAGGACACACAUACCCAGGCACUCUCACCUCUCCCACAGGCUUGCUGUGCAAUCACCGAGUCCCAGAUUCUUGGACCCAGGAAGCGAGCAGCACCCUUUCACAUUAGCCUAGGCCACCUGCUCAGGCCCAGCUUCCCAGAGAGCCUAUCGGCAGUGUCUGGGCCGCAGUCCCAGCUACGUCCUAAUGAAAGGGUACUUUGGUUCUCCAUCCACGUCUGACCCCAUGCACGUCACUCCUUGGAAGUAGGGUUUGGUCCAUGAUGCAAGCCGGUAACGUCACACCCCUGCUUCCCACCACUGCCACCAGCCUCUGCACAUGAUUAUCGGAUAAAACAGAAGCUGCGUAUCCUCCAUCCACGUGGAGCUCUACGAGCUCCAGCGCCCCCCUCUGAAGGUUGGAGGCUCAGGGCAGGCCAUGCCUCUCACAGGAGAGGGGUCAGAGGGACAGUCACAGGCCCCAGGCCUGAAAGUGGGGCUCCACACAGAAGGCCAAGCUAGUGGGAAGGGCUGCAGAGCUUGGCCGUCUUCCCAAUCUCUCCUUUCGCAGCACUACAGUGAUUUUAAUUAAAUACUCCCCCUACUGACUCAGCAGUGGCUAACAAAGCCAAGUGCAGAGCCAGGAGCCUGAUAAACAGAGUGUUGCUGGAGGUGGUCAAUCUCGAAGGCUGUGGCUGGAGCCCGCCAUCCCUGUCUGGGGCCAGGCCCCAGGGCCCUAGUCCUCUUCCCCUUCUCCAGGACCCCGUGGGGUCUUUGCUGGGGGCAGGCAAGCUGUGCGUUCUCAAAACCUCUUGGCAGAGACUUUUUCUGGACCCCACUGGUCUUGGUUGUGAAUCCGUUACCAAACUCCUACUUGGAAGGCUGCUUAAUUCACUCCAUAAAUCUCUCCUCCUGGACUUUGCACAGCUGUGGCUAGAAGCUGAUUCCUGAGCGCUCUCAGCAGCCCCUGGAAGAAGACAGAAGAGAACGACUGUGAAGGAGAGGAGACUGGAAUUCACAUACCACCGGGCAGAGCAGUGAAAAGGCACAGGCCUUGUACCCAGACUCACUGGGGUUCUGACACCAGCUCUUCUGCUCUCACUGGGCUUCCUGGGCUAAUUACUCCGCUUACCAGCCUCAGCCUUCUUAUAUACCAAUCAGAAAGAAUACUCUUUAUGUUAUUAGAUGAUUGGAAGGAUUAACUGAGACCAAAAAAUGGCACCCAUCAAGCCUUCAGCAACUGGUGACUGUUACACCUAACGUGCGCACGCGGGUGCUAGGUAGCCCACGGCCUAUGGGAGAGCGGCCAAGACGCUGCAAAUAUUUGUGAGCACGUACAAUAUUUCUGCUCCUUCUAUUCAGGAGAGGAUUCAAGGUCUCAGAGAGGCGGCCUUACCUCUUCCAUUUCAACACCCUGUGUGACUCUCAUAGAGUUUACAGUCCUGGUGGGAAAUUCAGUUAUUAUCCAGUGAGCUGUCACCCCAUACAAGGAGUACAAAGAGGUUACCUCUUCACCAUUGAUGCUGAGUUGAGCUUGGCCCUGUAUUGUUUUGGCCAAAUGGCAUGUAGGCAGUGUCUGAGUUCUGAAUCCAGGCCUGAAGAGUCAUUGCACGCUUCUGCUCAUCAUUCUGGGACUUUCCUGAUCCUGACAUGAGUCACUGUCUCCCGGCCCGGACUUCUGACUACAACCCAUGAAGGAAAUCUGCAGUCUGAAACAGGGACACCAUAACCAAUCUGCAAACCUAUGAGCAAAAAUAAAUGCCCAGUGCCAUAUGUCAAAA